UACGGAGGUCUCAAGCGUUGUUCGGAUUCAUUGGGCGUAAAGGGUGCGUAGGCGGCGCGGUAAGUCGGGUGUGAAAUCUCGGAGCUUAACUCCGAAACUGCAUUCGAUACUGCCGUGCUUGAGGACUGGAGAGGAGACUGGAAUUCUCGGUGUAGCGGUGAAAUGCGUAGAUAUCGAGAGGAACACCCGUGGCGAAGGCGGGUCUCUGGACAGUUCCUGACGCUGAGGCACGAAGGCCAGGGUAGCAAACGGG
rnacentral:rRNA from 1 species